UGGCAUUUUGGGGGUGGCCAAUUGUGACCAGCUGCUGAAGCAUCGUAUGCCUCUCAAACAGCCUUGUGUUCCCAGCACUGAGAGUGCCCUUCUUCUGUUUUACGCUGAAGAGGACUGAGUCAUUCCAGUGCACAUGGAGGAGGAGGAAUUUGAGGAAGCAGAG
rnacentral:lncRNA from 1 species